GUUUGAUCCUGGCUCAGAUUGAACGCUGGCGGCAUGCCUUACACAUGCAAGUCGAACGGUAACGCGGGGCAACCUGGCGACGAGUGGCGAACGGGUGAGUAAUGCAUCGGAACGUGCCCAGUAGUGGGGGAUAGCCCGGCGAAAGCCGGAUUAAUACCGCAUACGACCUACGGGUGAAAGCGGGGGACUCGCAAGAGCCUCGCGCUAUUGGAGCGGCCGAUGUCAGAUUAGGUAGUUGGUGGGGUAAAAGCCUACCAAGCCGACGAUCUGUAGCUGGUCUGAGAGGACGACCAGCCACACUGGGACUGAGACACGGCCCAGACUCCUACGGGAGGCAGCAGUGGGGAAUUUUGGACAAUGGGCGCAAGCCUGAUCCAGCCAUGCCGCGUGCGGGAAGAAGGCCUCGGUU
rnacentral:rRNA from 1 species